rnacentral:rRNA from 1 species
AACCACCUGAUCCCAUCCCGAACUCAGCAGUGAAACGAUGCAUCGCCGAUGGUAGUGUGGGGCUUCCCCAUGUGAGAUUAGGUCAUCGUCAAGA